UGGGGAAUCUUGGACAAUGGGGGCAAACCCUGAUCCAGCCAUGCCGCGUGAGUGAUGAAGGCCUUAGGGUCGUAAAGCUCUUUCGCCUGUGAAGAUAAUGACGGUAGCAGGUAAAGAAACCCCGGCUAACUCCGUGCCAGCAGCCGCGGUAAUACGGAGGGGGUUAGCGUUGUUCGGAAUUACUGGGCGUAAAGCGCACGUAGGCGGACCAGAAAGUUGGGGGUGAAAUCCCGGGGGGCUCAACCCCGGAAACUGCCUCCAAAACUAUUGGUCUAGAGUUCGAGAGAGGUGAGUGGGAAUUCCAAGUGUAGAGGUGAAAUUCGUAGAUAUUCGGAGGAACACCAGUGGCGAAGGCGGCUCGCUGGCCCAAGAUACUGACGCUGAGGUGCGAAAAGCGUGGGGAGCAAAACAGGAUUAGAUACCCUGGUAGUCCACGCCGUAAAACGAUGAAUG
rnacentral:rRNA from 1 species